rnacentral:rRNA from 1 species
UACAGAGGUGGCAAGCGUUGUUCGGAAUUACUGGGCGUAAAGGGCGCGUAGGCGGCCUUCUAAGUCAGACGUGAAAUCCCCCGGCUUAACCUGGGAACUGCAUCCGAUACUGGAUGGCUUGAAUCCGGGAGAGGGAUGCAGAAUUCCAGGUGUAGCGGUGAAAUGCGUAGAUAUCUGGAGGAAUACCGGUGGCGAAGGCGGCAUCCUGGACCGGCAUUGACGCUGAGGAGCGAAAGCCAGGGGAGCAAACGGG